UACAGAGGUCUCAAGCGUUGUUCGGAUUCAUUGGGCGUAAAGGGUGCGUAGGCGGCGCGGUAAGUCGGGUGUGAAAUCUUGGAGCUUAACUCCGAAACUGCAUUCGAUACUGCCGUGCUUGAGGACUGAGAGGAGACGUAGUGAAUUACGGUGUAGCGGUGAAAUGCGUAGAUAUCGUAAGGAAGACCAGUGGCGAAGGCGGGUCUCUGGACAGUUCCUGACGCUGAGGCACGAAGGUCAGGGGGAGCAAACGGG
rnacentral:rRNA from 1 species